rnacentral:rRNA from 1 species
UGUUNGGAUCAUGGCUCAGGAUGAACGCUGGCGGCGUGCCUAAUACAUGCAAGUCGAACGCUUUGUGGUUCAACUGAUUUGAAGAGCUUGCUCAGAUAUGACGAUGUACAUUGCAAAGAGUGGCGAACGGGUGAGUAACACGUGGGAAACCUACCUCUUAGCAGGGGAUAACAUUUGGAAACAGAUGCUAAUACCGUAUAACAAUAGCAACCGCAUGGUUGCUACUUAAAAGAUGGUUCUGCUAUCACUAAGAGAUGGUCCCGCGGUGCAUUAGUUAGUUGGUGAGGUAAUGGCUCACCAAGACGAUGAUGCAUAGCCGAGUUGAGAGACUGAUCGGCCACAAUGGGACUGAGACACGGCCCAUACUCCUACGGGAGGCAGCAGUAGGGAAUCUUCCACAAUGGGCGAAAGCCUGAUGGAGCAACGCCGCGUGUGUGAUGAAGGGUUUCGGCUCGUAAAACACUGUUGUAAGAGAAGAAUGACAUUGAGAGUAACUGUUCAAUGUGUGACGGUAUCUUACCAGAAAGGAACGGCUAAAUACGUGCCAGCAGCCGCGGUAAUACGUAUGUUCCAAGCGUUAUCCGGAUUUAUUGGGCGUAAAGCGAGCGCAGACGGUUAUUUAAGUCUGAAGUGAAAGCCCUCAGCUCAACUGAGGAAUUGCUUUGGAAACUGGAUGACUUGAGUGCAGUAGAGGAAAGUGGAACUCCAUGUGUAGCGGUGAAAUGCGUAGAUAUAUGGAAGAACACCAGUGGCGAAGGCGGCUUUCUGGACUGUAACUGACGUGNGCUCGAA